UACGUGCCAGCAGCCGCGGUAAUACGUAGGUGGCAAGCGUUAUCCGGAAUUAUUGGGCGUAAAGCGCGCGUAGGCGGUUUCUUAAGUCUGAUGUGAAAGCCCACGGCUCAACCGUGGAGGGUCAUUGGAAACUGGGAAACUUGAGUGCAGAAGAGGAAAGUGGAAUUCCAUGUGUAGCGGUGAAAUGCGCAGAGAUAUGGAGGAACACCAGUGGCGAAGGCGACUUUCUGGUCUGUAACUGACGCUGAUGUGCGAAAGCGUGGGGAUCAAACAGGAUUAGAUACCCUGGUAGUCCACGCCGUAAACGAUGAGUGCUAAUGGUUAAGGGGGUUUCCGCCCCUUAGUGCUGCAGCUAACGCAUUAAGCACUCCGCCCGGGGGAGUACGACCGCAAGGUUGAAACUCAAAGGAAUUGACGGGGACCCGCACAAGCGGUGGAACAAGGUGGUUUAAUUCGAAGCAACGCGAAGAACCUUACCAAAUCUUGACAUCCUUUGACACUCUAGAGAUAGAGCUUCCCCUUCGGGGGACAAAUGACAGGUGGUGGCAAGGGUUGUCGUCACCUCGUGUCGUGAGAAGUUUGGGGUUAAGUCCCGCAACGAACGCAACCCUUAAGCUUAGUUGCCACCAUUAAGUUGGGCACUCUAAGUUGACUGCCG
rnacentral:rRNA from 1 species